GCCGGGCGUGGUGGCACACGCCUGUAAUCCCAGCUACUCAGGAGGCUGAGGCAGGAGAAUUGCUUGAACCUGGGAGACAGGGGUUGCAGUGAGCCAAGAUCGUGCCACUGCACUCCAGCCUAGGUGACAGAGUGAGACUCUGUCUCCA
ensembl:misc_RNA Metazoa_SRP Metazoan signal recognition particle RNA